UCUAAGGAAGCCGUCCGCCAGACAUAUGAUGUUUUUCAUAGUCUCGGACCGCUUACUCAGAACAUACAGAGCCCGACACUUCGGUGUUAGGGACUCCUUGGCGAGUAGUCGCCGCCUUCGUUUCUCUUUCGUCUUGGACAAACGCUUCAGUUUGGGCCUGUAGCUCAGUUGGUUAGAGCGCACCCCUGAUAAGGGUGAGGUCGGUAGUUCAAAUCUACCCAGGCCCACCACGUGUGGUGCGCGGGCUCACUGAAGUGAGCUGUCUGGCGUUAUCCGUUUGGGGCCUUAGCUCAGCUGGGAGAGCGGUAGCUUUGCAAGCUUCAGGUCGUCGGUUCGAUCCCGACAGGCUCCACCAAGACAUCGGUGCAUUUGCACCGUAUUAGGAAUUCUGCGUCUCGCGGAGUGUGCCUGCCUGCUGGCGGGCUUAGAAGACAUGACAUCGUAAAGAGGAAAAUAUACCGAGUAUGGUCUAGCCGGCCGUGCCCACUCCAACGGGCAGCUUGGUAUGUUUUGAUACACUGGUCUUUCUGAACAAUGCCGUUUUGCUUGCAGCUCCUCUGCCGAGGGUGUUGCCGGUGGGCAUUGUUAAUGAGAGCAAUCAAGUGACCUAAGGGCAUCUGGUGAAUGCCUUGGUGGUAAGAGGCGAUGAAGGACGUGGUACGCUGCGAUAAGCUACGGGGAGGUGCGAACAGCCUUUGAUCCGUAGAUGUCCGAAUGGGGAAACCCGG
rnacentral:misc_RNA from 1 species